AAUGAACGUUGGCGGCAUGGAUUAGGCAUGCAAGUCGAGCGAGAAGGGUUUUGAAGCUUGCUUUAGAACCCGGACAGCGGCGAAAGGGAGAGUAACGCGUAGUUAUGUGCCCUAGGGUCCGGAAUAGCCACGGGAAACUGUGGGUAAUGCCGGAUAACAUCCCCGGAUCAAAGGUGUGAUUCCGCCCUAGGAGCAGACUGCGUCCUACUAGCUAGUUGGUGGGGUAAUGGCCCACCAAGGCAAUGAUGGGUAGCGGGUGUGAGAGCAUGACCCGUCUCACUGGGACUGGGACACUGCCCAGACACCUACGGGUGGCUGCAGUCGAGAAUCUUCGGCAAUGGGCGAAAGCCUGACCGAGCGAUGCCGCGUGCGGGAUGAAGGCCCUCGGGUUGUAAACCGCUGUCGUAGGGGAGGAAGGUUCCGUGAAGAGCGGAAUUUGACCUAUCCUAGGAGGAAGUACGGGCUAAGUUCGUGCCAGCCGCCGCGGUAACAC
rnacentral:rRNA from 1 species